UUUGGUGGUAGUAGAAGGCGGAUGUUAUGCAGUGGAUCUCAUCAGAACUCCACAAUUAAGGGUGCUAAGCUAAGAGUAGUACCUAGAUUGCUGACCUUCUAGAAAAUCUUAAACCAUAUAAC
rnacentral:rRNA from 2 species